GGCAGGUUGGCACUGAGCGAUGCGCUCUUAUGGCCCUUUCAGUGGUAUGGUAAACGGGUGAGUAACGCGUGGGAACGUGCCCAAAGGUACGGAACAACUGAGGGAAACUUCAGCUAAUACCGUAUGUGCCCGUGAGGGGAAAGAUUUAUCGCCUUUGGAGCGGCCCGCGUCUGAUUAGCUAGUUGGUGGGGUAAAGGCCCACCAAGGCUUCGAUCAGUAGCUGGUCUGAGAGGAUGGCCAGCCACAUUGGGACUGAGACACGGCCCAAACUCCUACGGGAGGCAGCAGUGGGGAAUCUUGCGCAAUGGGCGAAAGCCUGACGCAGCCAUGCCGCGUGGAUGAUGAAGGUCUUAGGAUUGUAAAAUCCUUUCAGCGGGGACGAUAAUGACGGUACCCGCAGAAGAAGCCCCGGCUAACUUCGUGCCAGCAGCCGCGGUAAUACGAAGGGGGCUAGCGUUGCUCGGAAUUACUGGGCGUAAAGGGAGCGUAGGCGGAUCGUUUAGUCAGGGGUGAAAUCCCGGGGCUCAACCUCGGAACUGCCUUUGAUACUGGCGAUCUUGAGUAUGGGAGAGGUGUGUGGAACUCCGAGUGUAGAGGUGAAAUUCGUAGAUAUUCGGAAGAACACCAGUGGCGAAGGCGACACACUGGCC
rnacentral:rRNA from 1 species